rnacentral:rRNA from 1 species
CCUACGGGAGGCAGCAGUAGGGGAUAUUGGUCAAUGGGGGAAACCCUGAAGCAGCAACGCCGCGUGAGGGAUGAAGGUUUUCGGAUUGUAAACUCCUGUUGUCAGAGAAGAUAAUGACGGUAUCUGACGAGUAAGCACCGGCUAACUACGUGCCAGCAGCCGCGGUAAUACGGAGGGUGCAAGCGUUGCCCGGAUUCACUGGGCGUAAAGGGCGCGUAGGCGGGAUAGCAAGUCAGAUGUGAAAUCCUAUGGCUUAACCAAUGAACUGCAUUUGAAACUGUUAUUCUUGAGUAAGGGAGAGGUAGGUGGAAUUCUUGGUGUAGGGGUAAAAUGCGUAGAGAUCAAGAGGAAUACUCGUGGCGAAGGCGACCUGCUAGAACAUAACUGACGCUGAGGCGCGAAAGCGUGGGGAGCAAACAGGAUUAGAUACCCUUGUAGUC